GACGAACGCUGGCGGCGUGCCUAAUACAUGCAAGUCGAACGCUUCUUUCCUCCCGAGUGCUUGCACUCCAUUGGAAAGAGGAGUGGCGGACGGGUGAGUAACACGUGGGUAACCUACCCAUCAGAGGGGGAUAACACUUGGAAACAGGUGCUGAUACCGCAUAACAGUUUAUGCCGCAUGGCAUAAGAGUGAAAGGCGCUUUCGGGUGUCGCUGAUGGAUGGACCCGCGGUGCAUUAGCUAGUUGGUGAGGUAACGGCUCACCAAGGCCACGAUGCAUAGCCGACCUGAGAGGGUGAUCGGCCACACUGGGACUGAGACACGGCCCAGACUCCUACGGGAGGCAGCAGUAGGGAAUCUUCGGCAAUGGACGAAAGUCUGACCGAGCAACGCCGCGUGAGUGAAGAAGGUUUUCGGAUCGUAAAACUCUGUUGUUAGAGAAGAACAAGGACGUUAGUAACUGAACGUCCCCUGACGGUAUCUAACCAGAAAGACACGGCUAACUACGUG
rnacentral:rRNA from 1 species